CGUGGCCUACGGGAGGCAGCAGUGAGGAAUAUUGGUCAAUGGUCGGGAGACUGAACCAGCCAAGCCGCGUGAGGGAGGAAGGUACAGAGUAUCGUAAACCUCUUUUGUCAGGGAACAAAGACUGGGACGCGUCCCCGGAUGAGUGUACCUGAAGAAAAAGCAUCGGCUAACUCCGUGCCAGCAGCCGCGGUAAUACGGAGGAUGCGAGCGUUAUCCGGAUUUAUUGGGUUUAAAGGGUGCGCAGGCGGUCUGUUAAGUCAGCGGUCAAAGCCCGGGGCUCAACCCCGGCCCGCCGUUGAAACUGG
rnacentral:rRNA from 1 species